rnacentral:rRNA from 1 species
GGUUAAGCGACUAAGCGUACACGGUGGAUGCCCUGGCAGUCAGAGGCGAUGAAGGACGUGCUAAUCUGCGAAAAGCGCCGGCGAGGUGAUAUGAACCUUUGACCCGGCGAUGUCCGAAUGGGGAAACCCAGUGUGUUCCGACACACUAUCGUUAACUGAAUACAUAGGUUAACGAGGCGAACCGGGGGAACUGAAACAUCUAAGUACCCCGAGGAAAAGAAAUCAACCGAGAUUCCCCCAGUAGCGGCGAGCGAACGGGGAGCAGCCCAGAGUCUGAAUCAGCUUGUGUGUUAGUGGAAGCGUCUGGAAAGUCGCACGGUACAGGGUGACAGUCCCGUACACGAAAGCACACAGGUUGUGAACUCGAAGAGUAGGGCGGGACACGUGGUAUCCUGUCUGAAUAUGGGGGGACCAUCCUCCAAGGCUAAAUACUCCUGACUGACCGAUAGUGAACCAGUACCGUGAGGGAAAGGCGAAAAGAACCCCGGCGAGGGGAGUGAAAAAGAACCUGAAACCGUGUACGUACAAGCAGUGGGAGCCUCUUUUAUGGGGUGACUGCGUACCUUUUGUAUAAUGGGUCAGCGACUUAUAUUCUGUAGCAAGGUUAACCGUAUAGGGGAGCCGAAGGGAAACCGAGUCUUAACUGGGCGUUAAGUUGCAGGGUAUAGACCCGAAACCCGGUGAUCUAGCCAUGGGCAGGUUGAAGGUUGGGUAACACUAACUGGAGGACCGAACCGACUAAUGUUGAAAAAUUAGCGGAUGACUUGUGGCUGGGGGUGAAAGGCCAAUCAAACCGGGAGAUAGCUGGUUCUCCCCGAAAGCUAUUUAGGUAGCGCCUCGUGAAUUCAUCUUCGGGGGUAGAGCACUGUUUCGGCUAGGGGGCCAUCCCGGCUUACCAACCCGAUGCAAACUACGAAUACCGAAGAAUGUUAUCACGGGAGACACACGGCGGGUGCUAACGUCCGUCGUGAAGAGGGAAACAACCCAGACCGCCAGCUAAGGUCCCAAAGUCAUGGUUAAGUGGGAAACGAUGUGGGAAGGCACAGACAGCCAGGAUGUUGGCUUAGAAGCAGCCAUCAUUUAAAGAAAGCGUAAUAGCUCACUGGUCGAGUCGGCCUGCGCGGAAGAUGUAACGGGGCUAAACCAUGCACCGAAGCUGCGGCAGCGACACUAUGUGUUGUUGGGUAGGGGAGCGUUCUGUAAGCCGUUGAAGGUGUCCUGUGAGGGGUGCUGGAGGUAUCAGAAGUGCGAAUGCUGACAUAAGUAACGAUAAAGCGGGUGAAAAGCCCGCUCGCCGGAAGACCAAGGGUUCCUGUCCAACGUUAAUCGGGGCAGGGUGAGUCGACCCCUAAGGCGAGGCCGAAAGGCGUAGUCGAUGGGAAACAGGUUAAUAUUCCUGUACUUGGUGUUACUGCGAAGGGGGACGGAGAAGGCUAUGUUAGCCGGGCGACGGUUGUCCCGGUUUAAGCAUGUAGGCGGAGGUUCCAGGUAAAUCCGGUUCCUUAUUAACGCUGAGGUGUGAUGACGAGGCACUACGGUGCUGAAGUAACAAAUGCCCUGCUUCCAGGAAAAGCCUCUAAGCAUCAGGUAACAUCAAAUCGUACCCCAAACCGACACAGGUGGUCAGGUAGAGAAUACCAAGGCGCUUGAGAGAACUCGGGUGAAGGAACUAGGCAAAAUGGUGCCGUAACUUCGGGAGAAGGCACGCUGAUAUGUAGGUGAAGCCCCUGCGGGUGGAGCUGAAAUCAGUCGAAGAUACCAGCUGGCUGCAACUGUUUAUUAAAAACACAGCACUGUGCAAACACGAAAGUGGACGUAUACGGUGUGACGCCUGCCCGGUGCCGGAAGGUUAAUUGAUGGGGUUAGCGGUAACGCGAAGCUCUUGAUCGAAGCCCCGGUAAACGGCGGCCGUAACUAUAACGGUCCUAAGGUAGCGAAAUUCCUUGUCGGGUAAGUUCCGACCUGCACGAAUGGCGUAAUGAUGGCCAGGCUGUCUCCACCCGAGACUCAGUGAAAUUGAACUCGCUGUGAAGAUGCAGUGUACCCGCGGCAAGACGGAAAGACCCCGUGAACCUUUACUAUAGCUUGACACUGAACACUGGUCCUUGAUGUGUAGGAUAGGUGGGAGGCUUUGAAGCGUGGACGCCAGUCUGCGUGGAGCCAACCUUGAAAUACCACCCUUUAAUGGCUGGUGUUCUAACGUAGACCCGUGAUCCGGGUUGCGGACAGUGUCUGGUGGGUAGUUUGACUGGGGCGGUCUCCUCCCAAAGAGUAACGGAGGAGCACGAAGGUUAGCUAAUCCUGGUCGGACAUCAGGAGGUUAGUGCAAUGGCAUAAGCUAGCUUGACUGCGAGAGUGACGGCUCGAGCAGGUGCGAAAGCAGGUCAUAGUGAUCCGGUGGUUCUGAAUGGAAGGGCCAUCGCUCAACGGAUAAAAGGUACUCCGGGGAUAACAGGCUGAUACCGCCCAAGAGUUCAUAUCGACGGCGGUGUUUGGCACCUCGAUGUCGGCUCAUCACAUCCUGGGGCUGAAGUAGGUCCCAAGGGUAUGGCUGUUCGCCAUUUAAAGUGGUACGCGAGCUGGGUUUAGAACGUCGUGAGACAGUUCGGUCCCUAUCUGCCGUGGGCGCUGGAGAAUUGAGGGGGCUGCUCCUAGUACGAGAGGACCGGAGUGGACGCAUCACUGGUGUUCGGGUUGUCAUGCCAAUGGCACUGCCCGGUAGCUAAAUGCGGAAGAGAUAAGUGCUGAAAGCAUCUAAGCACGAAACUUGCCCCGAGAUGAGUUCUCCCUGAGACUUUAAGUCUCCUGAAGGAACGUUGAAGACUACGACGUUGAUAGGUCGGGUGUGUAAGCGCAGCGAUGCGUUGAGCUAACCGAUACUAAUGAACCGUGAGGCUUAACCUU